rnacentral:lncRNA from 1 species
GGCCGGCCAGGGCAUUCUGAAGUCACUUCCAACUCUGCUCAAAGUGCCACCUACACAGCAGAACUGCGAGAUAGCCAGGGAAGUUGGCAGCUGGGGGCGUCUCAGCUGACACGGGGCAGGGGGCUCCGAGAGAGAGAGAGCCAGGGUCCCCGCCAGGCUCCCACUCAGAGGCCACAGGGAGGGCGGGACCGCCUGGCUCCAGCCCCCAGGGACCUGGUGCUUGACCCUCCCGGCUCUGAGCCAGGCUCCAGGAGCCAGGAGCCAGCUGUGAGUGGAUGGCGCGCUCCCCACGUGAGUGCUCUGAAGUCGGGGACUCGAGCACUCAAGCGGAAUCGCGUGGACAGCAUUUGCCUGCAACAACACACGCCGCACCGUCACCCCACGCACACGGCCCGGCUCUCGGUGCGCUCACUGGGAUGCACGGUCUCGGCCGCACCACUGCAGCCUUCGUCUCUGCUGCUCCCGCAAGCCCCGCAGGGCCGGCUUCCCAUGCCCGACUCGCUUGGCCUGGCCACCACCCAGCUGCAGGCUCAGCGGGGCUCUGCAGGGACAGCGGUCAUUCCCAUCUCUUACUGCCAGAGCUCCUGCAUGAAGCUUUUCGUUCAAACUUCUGACUGUGUCCACUCAAGUCUGUUCUCAACUAGAGCAUCAGGAUUUCCUCCAGACACAGCGGUCCUCCCACAGGACUCCCUCCGCGUGGGCCAGUGCUACGCUCUUCACAGGUGAGUGACUACAAAAGCGCACGCAUGCAAGCAUGUGUGAAGAGCAUAUAUAAGAAAUGCAGCUCGGUGAAAUGUUCCCGGAGCUGCAUCUGCUAAGUCUGAGCAUGGCCUUGUACCCCGAGUACUCCUGACUGUAUCAAGCGGGGACGCGGCAUCUGAACA